AUUGAACGCUGGCGGCAUGCCUUACACAUGCAAGUCGAACGGCAGCGCGGACUUCGGUCUGGCGGCGAGUGGCGAGCGGGUGAGUAAUACAUCGGAACGUACCCUGUUGUGGGGGAUAACUAGUCGAAAGAUUAGCUAAUACCGCAUACGACCUGAGGGUGAAAGUGGGGGACCGCAAGGCCUCACGCAGCAGGCGCGGCCGAUGUCUGAUUAGCUAGUUGGUGGGGUAAAGGCCCACCAAGGCGACGAUCAGUAGCUGGUCUGAGAGGACGAUCAGCCACACUGGGACUGAGACACGGCCCAGACUCCUACGGGAGGCAGCAGUGGGGAAUUUUGGACAAUGGGGGCAACCCUGAUCCAGCAAUGCCGCGUGUGUGAAGAAGGCCUUCGGGUUGUAAAGCACUUUUGUCCGGAAAGAAAUCGCGCUGGUUAAUACCUGGCGUGGAUGACGGUACCGGAAGAAUAAGCACCGGCUAACUACGUG
rnacentral:rRNA from 1 species